GGAUUAGCGGCGGACGGGUGAGUAACACGUGAGUAACCUGCCUUAGACAUUGGGAUAGCCUCGGGAAACCGGGAUUAAUACCAAAUGAAAUCACAUAUGCACAUGCAUAAAUGAUCAAAGCUCCGGCGGUCUAAGAUGGACUCGCGUCCCAUUAGCUAGUUGGUGAGGUAACGGCCCACCAAGGCGACGAUGGGUAGCCGGCCUGAGAGGGUGAACGGCCACAUUGGAACUGAGAAACGGUCCAAACUCC
rnacentral:rRNA from 1 species